AUGAGGUGCAGGGACGGAGGCGGCAUGGCCCCAGCUCGCCCCCGCUCGCUUCGUCCCUGGGGAGGAGCCAACAUGAUCCUCACAGACGACAGCGACUCAAUCCAAGCAGCAAAUCCUCGCAGUCUCCUCCGUGCCGUCGCGCUGCCUCGCUCCCCUCGCGCCGGCCGGGCGACAGCAUACGUGCGCUCGCCGGAACAGCGCAACAAGGGAGCAAUGCAGCCGGCCGCUUCGUGGCCGCAACGGCGCGCUGGGGCAGCGCGGAGGGAGAGGCUCGCCGAUGAAGGCAGUCCACUGGAUGAAGGAAAGGAGAGGUGCUGCCGACCACGGCCGCCGCCGCGGCGCGUCUGUUUGGGGAAGGAUGGAACCCGUGCGGGCCUGUGUGAGAGGAAUACAGAGAGGCUCUGGAGCGUGGGCCGGGCCGAGGAAACAGCCCUCAGGCCCGAGGCCCGAGGCCCUGGACGGCGAUGGGCCACCAGAGCUCGCCGGAGCGCCAAGAAACCCACCUCUCGCCACCGCGCAGCAGCGCCCACCGCCUCUGCUCUCCAGCGCCGGCGACCGAUGGACAGGUUCCACGACAGGCAGCACGUGUGGCUGCGGAGCUGCGUGCACGGCACGUACCUCAACGCCGACAGCGACGGGAAGAGCGUCUCCCUCCGCCAGCGCCGCGAGUCGCUGAAGGCGGCGUGGGCGGUGCACAUCUACCAGGGCGACGUGCCGUACCUGCUCCUCUACAGCGCCGCCUACGGCCGCUACCUCGCCGCCACGGCCACGCCGGCUCCGCUCGCCCACCUCGGCUUCCGCGCCGAGCAGCGCGACUACGACCAGCCGGUGGUGCCGGCCAUCAUGUGGCGGGCCACCGCGACGGGAUUCGGGAACGACGUCCUGCUCCGCAACGUCGGCGGCCGGUACCUCCGCGCCAACGGCAAGCACACCAGCAAGUACCUCCGCUGGAACAACGGCGUCACCGUCGACGACGUCGACAACGUCAGCACCAUGAUGCACUGGACCGUCGAGCCCAUCCCCCUCAGAGGGCCGGACAUGCCUCAGCCUGGCUUUGCUGCCCCGAUUCCGAGCCGCAUCCCCCGAGAGCUGUCCGCGAUGCUGGGACGCGAGCGAGGGGCGUGGCGGCUGAUCCGGUUCGUGCGAGCGAGCGCCGAGGGGGAGUACGCCGAGGACGGCAACGGCUGGACCGAGUUCCAGUUCAGGGGGAGGUACGUGUACCACCUGAGGAACGAGCUGGCCAAACGCAUCAACGCCGAGGUGCACUUGUUCGAGCUCGCCAUGUGCGUCCGAGCGGGCCGCUACGGGCGUUUGACCCCGCUCAUCACCAACCUGCCCCACGGCUGCAACGGCGAGACCCUCCAGAUCGUCGCCUACCUCUCCGAGACCCCUGAUAAUUCAGUUCGUCCAUAUCGUAUCAUUUUGCCGCUGGCUAUGCACUUGAUACAAAUGCAAAAUGUAGCAGGUUCUUGCUGUGAGCUGACGAUCGUGCUGGCACUUGUGCUGUUUUCAGUGUUGGCCAAGGAGCAGGAAAAAGAAUUUGUAAUCUGUGUGGUCCUUACUAAUCUUGUUUGUUGGUUAUGUGCAACAACAGCUCCAUUUGUUCUUAAGAUCCAUAGUUCAGAGAGGCUGAUCUUUGACAAAGAUCAGCUGGCCCGCCAGCCAUCCGAUUGUGUCCUCAUUGCCGUUGGGUCACAGGGAGCUCCUAUUUGGCGAUUUCAGCACCGCUGGCACUCCUGGCGCUCACGCGCGACUCCUAGCGAGCUGGCCCAGCAAUCUCCUUAA
rnacentral:rRNA from 1 species